rnacentral:rRNA from 1 species
CUGCUAUCGAGUUCCGACUAAGCCAAGCGAGUCACAGGCCGUAAGGUACUGGCAGACGGCUCAGUAACACGCGGAUAAUCCACCCUUAGGUGGGGUAUAGCCUUGGGAAACUGAGAUUAAUUCCCCAUAGAUCCCGAAAACUGGAAUGUUACGGGUUCAGAAAGUCACGACGCCUAAGGACGAGUCUGCGGCCUAUCAGGUAGUAGGUGGGGUAAAGGCCCACAUAGCCUAUGACGGGUACGGGCACUGAGAGGUGUAGCCCGGAGAUGGGUUCUGAGACAUUAGUCCAGGCCCUACGGGGCGCAGCAGGCGCGAAAACUGUGCAAUGCGCGAAAGCGCGACACGGGAAGCCUGAGUGCCUUAACACAGUUAAGGCUUUUCUCAAGCCUAAAAAGCUUGAGGAAUAAGAGCUGGGUAAGACGGGUGCCAGCCGCCGCGGUAACACCCGCAGCUCGAGUGGUGGUCACUUUUAUUAAGCCUAAAGCGUUCGUAGCCGGCUCUGUAAAUCUUCAGACAAAUUCUCCUGCUUAACGGGAGAUACUCUGGAGAGACUGCGAAACUAGGGACCGGGUGAGGUUGAAGGUACUUCUGGGGUAGGGGUAAAAUCCUGUAAUCCUGGAAGGACGACCAGUGGCGAAGGCGUUCAACUAGAACGGAUCCGACGGUGAGGAACGAGGGCUAGGGGAGCAAACCGGAUUAGAUACCCGGGUAGUCCUAGCUGUAAACACUGCCCACUUGGUGUUGCUUCUUCUAUAGGGG